UUCCAGCUCCCUGCCCCACAUCCACCCACUCUCCUCGGACCUCAGUUGGAGCUGGACCCCGACCCUAAGCAUGACAUAUUUGCACAGAUGGAAAAGCUGAGACACAGAGAAGUUCCUUGAGUUGCCUGAGAUCACAGAGCAGCAGGGCCAGGACCCGGUCCCAGGAAGUUCCACUGCAGGCCCGGCUCUAACCCUCAUCACUGUGGUGGUGGCCUUCAGUUUGAGUUGGGUCAGAAUGAUCAGGUCAUCAUUUUAUAAACCAGAGAAGAAAAUCGUUUCCAUUAAUGCUGAAUAUUGGUGCCACUGAAGUUAUAAUACCC